CAUUAAGAAGCUAUGAACCAGCAUUAGCCUUUUAAGCUAAAGAAAGAGGGAUCCAUCCCUCCUUAAUGA
rnacentral:tRNA from 1 species